CGCAAAGUUGUGACGAAUGCAAGCUGAGAGAAUGGCGACCCUGAGGAAGAUAUAAAAAAAGGGAAAAGAUGGAUUAGAUGUUGGCAAGCUUCUGCAGAUCCAUGGACAGAUCCUUGACCUCGCUGGACAGAUGCUGCAGAGUGUGAUUAAAGCCGUCCAGCACUGGCUGAAGGUGGGUCAUCACAGCUGCAAAGACUUUAUGGACCGUCAAGAGAGUGACCGAGUCCAUGAACGGCAGAGAACCAGUGGGAGGGAUUGUUCCACCAGAACCUGAAAACAGUACAUUAAUAGGAAACAGUGGGACGCUGGGAGGCGGCUGAACUGGACCAUUAUCCCAGCUUCCAUCCUCCAGCAGUACACAGGAGGCCUUGUUCUCAGCGCUGACCCCGUUUCAGACCCCCACCCUGGACCCCUUCAUGGAUGCAGCAGACCCUCAGCUGCCAUUUCUCAGGCUGAAGAGAAAACAUGCCACCAGCGGAGAGGUUGUGAGUGGGCCGGACUGUUUGGAGAGUCGGGAGCUCUGGGAGAAGGAGGCUAUUGUGUGAGGAGGGCCCGGGAGGAGCCGGCCCCUGGCAACAGAGUGGCCUGGUGGUCCUCAGAGCCUCGGUGUCGACCCCGCCUGCUGCUAUCGUGUGUGGCUCAGCUGUGACAACAUAUACACACACACACCCACACAUACACACACUGCUGGUCCAGACACUUUCAGCACAACCCGGCUCUUCCUGCUCUCUCACACACACUCUGAUGGAGCACUUCCUGUCUGAGUUAAGGGUCUUACACACUGAGCGGACCCUCCACCACACAUCUCUAAAUCAUCUCAUCAUCUCCUGCUCAUCUUCAAUUACAUAUUUUUACUGCUAUUUAGGAAAAUGUGAUUUUUAGUUUUUAUUAGUCUUCUGUAAUUAACAUUUAUCAAAAGGACACUAAGCGGUGGGCACCAGAUGCUAUGUAGAGGUGUACGUGAUGAGCAAAACAUAUAUAAAAUUGUGAGCAAUUACAAUAAGAAUGGUUAAAAUGGUGAUUUCUAAGGCAAAAACACUGCUGAUCAAAAAUAACAUUUACCAUAUUUUUCACACCAUAUUUUUGAUCAAUAAACGUACAUUUUUGGGUCUAUUUUUUUUAUACAGAAGGCUCACAUCGGAUUAUAAGGCACAUUAUUUUUAAAGUUCAACGAGUGCUGGAUGUUAAUCUACACAGAUUUCUCUCCUGAAAACUGUUUCUUUGGGUGAGUAAAGCGCUUUAGUUUAUCUACACUAAGAUGAGAUUAGAUUCCCAGAUUUGCACUAAAGCUAGCCAUAGAGUUUUCCGGUAACCCAGGGCAAUAUCAGCUAGCGGUUUGCCCCACAUAGCUUGUUUUACCCGGUAAACACACAGGCUACAGUCUGAUAUAUUUAUCUCUAAACAGCGGAAGAGUAAUGCUAAAGGCUAAUGCUAAAGGGUAGUGCUAAUGCUGCUCCAGCAGUGCUAGCUGAGGUUAACAGCAGGCUACAGUCCGACAUACUCACCUCUGAACAACGAAAGAGCUAAAUAAAGCUUAGCACAGUUAGUAGCACAGUUAGCAAAUAAUGCUAAUGCUGCUCCAUCAGUGAGAGCAAAGGUUAUCAGCAAGCUACAGUCUGAUAUACUCACCUCUGAAUGAUGAAAGAGCUAACUAGCACUUAGCGUGGUUAGCAAAAAAUGCUAAUGCUGAUCCAGCAGUGAUAGCAAAGGUUAUCAGCAAGCUACAGUCUGAUAUACUCGCCUCUGAAUGGCAAAAGAGCUAACUAGCACUUAGCGCGGUUUGCGAGUAAUGCUAAUGCUGCUCCAGCAUUGAUAACAGUGGUUAGCAGCAGGCUACAGCACGAUAUACGAUAUACUCGGCUCUGUACGGCAAAAGAGCUAGAACUUAUUCUGAUUGAGAUGCUGUGGAUGACCUUAAACAGGUGAUUCAUGCUGGAAACCCUCCAAUUUGUCUGAAUAAAACAAUUCUGUAAAGAAGAGUGGAACCAAAUUCCUCCACAGAGAUGUGAAAGACUCUUUGUUAUCAGUAAAACUUCAUUGCAGUUGUUGCUGCCAAGAGUGACACAACCAAGUUAUGAGAUUUAGUGGACAAACCCUUUUUUACACAGGGCUAGAUUGGUUUGAAUAGAUUUUUUUCCAUUAAUAAAUGAAAUUAUCAUUUAAAAAACUUUUUGUUUUGUUUUUUAUAUUUACUCAGAUUAUCUUUUGUCUGAUAAUAAACUACAGCUCUUAAAAAAUGAUGUUUCUUUGAUUUUACCAAAUUUAAAACCUCUAGAAUAUAAUCAAGAGGAAGAUGGAUGAUCACAAGCCAUCAAACCAAGCUGAACUGCUUGUAUUUUUGCACCAGGAGUGGCGGCAUAAAGUUAUCCAAAAGCAGUGUGUAAGACUGGUGGAGGAGAAAAUGCCAAGACACCAAAUAUUGAUUUCUGAACUCGUAAAACUUUAUGAAUAUGAACUUGUUUUCUUUGCAUUGUUUGAGGUCUGAAAGCUCUGCAUCUUUUUUGAUA